rnacentral:rRNA from 2 species
GAGGUUGACCUCGGAUCAGGUAGGAAUACCCGCUGAACUUAAGCAUAUCAAUA